GGCCUCGUGGUGCAUCAGCAGUGCGUCUGACUCCAGAUCAGAAGGUUGGGGGUCCCCCGAGGCUG
rnacentral:tRNA from 1 species